rnacentral:lncRNA from 1 species
AUCAUUUUUAUUGUUGUAUUUUUCAUAUAUUUAUACCGUGAUGAUUUUUUUACCUGAUAAAAAUUGUGUAAGACCUGUAUUGGUGUUAUGUUUUGUUGUUGUUCUAUGUAUAGUUGGUUGUUUUUUGAUGUGUUUGGCUAGUUUUAUGUAUUGGUCAGAGGGUUCUUUGUGUAUUGGUCAUAGGGUUGUUAGUGUAUUGGUCAUAUUUACAAUUACA